ACUAGUCUCCAGUGUGUGGUUUGGUCGUGAUUUCCAUCGGUGCUCGGUGGUCUUGGAUAAGCCUCUAGAUCUCGCUUUUAUCAUUUGCAAAGUAAAUAGGAUCCAAUAGAGAUUUUACUAGAAUCAUUCAGCUAAAAAUGAAGAACUUUUUUUUGAGAGGAAGGACGGGAGCGCAGUUAAAGAUGUUAAUGUUAAAUCAUCCGUGUGUGAUUUCAGAACAUUGUCUUUGCACAGCUAAAAAAGGAUGAACCUAUAAGCAAAAAGCCAGAGAGCUUUGGUGUACUAAAGUGGAUCAACCUCUGGCUGCCCCAAGAUGCAGAAACACAGUACCAGGUAGAACUCAAGCUGGGGCUUGAAGGAUGGAGGGAGAUACAUGUAAAGUUAGUGUAAAGGUAUGCUUGUUCCCCUCACUUUAUUAUGAACAUGACCUGGCCACACAUUUGUACUGCCUUGAUUAUCCCAGAAGAAAGCAAUUUCGGGCUAAAAGAGAUAAGUGUAAAACUUAGGGAGCUAGAUAAUUCUUAUGCAUAAACUCCCUCUGAAAUAGUGGGCAUGGGAAGCAAAAUGGAUUUCUCAACUGACCUGGAGUAAGAAGAAGAUGAGUGGUAGGGUGGAGGUGUAGUAAACGUCAGAGAGAGUCAUGGAGAAGGACAUUUAAGUGGCAGCACAACAAUGGGAAAAUAAGAUUUUUAUGUAUGAAAACUGUACUUCCCUCAUAUUCCACUAUAGUCUCUGGAGAUUCUGAGAACUAUUUGGAAAAUGGAAACUUUGGAAAAUACUGGCUUUCAUGCAAAUAAAGUUAGUGGGUAUUAGAGCAUUGAUAUUUGUAGCAUUACUAUAGGCAGUGACACAAUUCCAUUUACUAACUCUUUUCCAGAAAGUAUUAAUUAUAGAUGCACUAUAAUUAUGUAUUAUAUUAUUAGAAACUAUAUGUUAUUAGAUUUUUUUUGUAUUUUAUCCUUAGAACUAUUGUGCAGAACUUAUCUAUGUAUUAUUCUUUGACAAUACCUUUAAUAUUUCCUGAAGAUAGUACCCAGAAUAGCCAAACAAUCUGAAAAAGUGCAAAGUUGAAGAAUCCAUACUUUUUAUUUUCAAAGCUUACUAUGAAAAUCUACAAUAAUCAAAGAUUGUGGUAUUGACACAAAGACAUAUCGACUGAUAGAAUAAAACUGAAAGUUCAGAAAUAAGUCCUUAUGUUUAUGGCCAAUUGAUUUUCAAUGAAGGUUAUAAAACAAAUGAGGAAAGAUAAGUAUUUUAAACAAACAGUGCUGGUAUAACACAUAAAGUUGGAUUCCCUGCCUCACGCUAUGUACAACACUAACUCAACAUGAGUCAAAGACCUGAAUUUAACAGUUAAAACAUUGGGAAGAAAACAGAGGAGCAAAUCUUUGUGACCUUGGGUUAAGCAAUGUUUUCUUAGAUAUGACAUAGAAAACACAAGCAGCAAUAGGUAAAUUGUACUUUAUAAAAUUAAAAUCUCCUGCACUUCAAAGGACAUUAUUAAUAAAAUGAAAAGAAAAUCCAAAUAAUGAGAGAAAAUAUUUGUAAAUCAAUAUCCAUUAAGGAACUAGUAUCCAGAAUAUAUAAAAACUCUUACGCUUUCUAGAUUCCUGUUCUCUGGGUAGGGCAUCUCCAAAAGAAAGGCAGCAGCCCCAUUCAGGGGCUUGUGGAUAAAACUGCCAUCUCCCUGGGAAAGAGCACCUGGGCAAAGGGGUGGCUGUGGGUGCAACUACAGCACACUUAAAUGUUCCUGCCUACCAGCCCUGAAGAGCGCAGCAGAUAUCCCAGCACAGCACUCGAGGUCUGCUAAGUGAUACACUGCCUCCUCAAGUGGGUCCCUGACCCACAUGACUCCUGACUAGGAAACAUCUCCCAGCAGGGGUUAACAGACUGGCAUUUGGCAGAUGCCCUUCUGGGAUGUAGCUUCCAGAGGAAGGAACAGGCAGCAAUCUUGGCUGUUCUGUAGCCUCUGCUGGUGAUACCCAGGCAAGCAGGGUCAGGAGUGGACCUCCAGCAAACUCCAGCAGACCUGGAGCAGAGGGGUCUGAUGGUUAGAAGGAAAACUAACGAACAGAAAAGAAUAGCAUCAACAUCAACAAAAAGGACAUCCACGCAAAAACCCCACCGAAAGGUCACUGACAUGAAAGACCAAAGGUAGAUAAAUCCACGAAGAUGAGGAAAAAACAAUGCAAAAAGACUGAAAAUUCCAAAAACCAGAAUGCCUCUUUUCCUCCAAAGGAUCAGAACUCCUUGCCAGCAAGGAAACAAAACUGGACAGAGAAUAAGUUUGAUGAAUUGACAGAAGUAAGCUUCAGAAGGUGGAUAAAACAAACUAUUCCUAGCUAAAGGUUCAUGUUCUAACCCAUCAAUAUGAAAAUUGCCAUCCUACCCAAAGUAAUUUAUAGAUUCAAUGCUAUCCCCAUCAAGCUACCAUUGACUUUCUUCACAGAAUUGGAA